UUUUUUCUUUUUUUAUUUAUUUUUUUAUAAAUUUAUUUUUUAUCAGUGUUCAAUUUGUCAACAUAUAGAAUAACACCCAGUGCUUAUCCUGUCAAGUGCCCCCCUCAGUGCCCGUCACCCAGUCACCCCCACCCCCCGCCCACCUCCCCUUCCACCACCCCUAGUUCAUUUCCAAGAGUUAGGAGUCUUUCAUGUUCUGUCUCCCUUUCUGAUAUUUCCCACUUAUUUUUUUCUCCUUUCCCCUUUAUUCCCUUUCACUAAUUUUUAUAUUACCCAAAUGAAUGAGAACAUAGAAUGUUUGUCCUUCUCCGAUUGACUUACUUCACUCAGCAUAAUACCCUCCAGUUCCAUCCACAUCGAAGCAAAUGGUGGGUAUUUGUCAUUUCUAAUGGCUGAGUAAUAUUCCAUUGUAUACAUAGACCGCAUCUUCUUUAUCCAUUCAUUUUUUUAAUACACCUUUAAAGCACAGGUCAUAGGGGCACCUGGCUUGAUCUACUGGCUUGUGCUGGCAUCUCUCAGGAAGCCAUUUGAGGAAACUCCCUUGUGACUAUUGUGGACAGGCUGGCAUACAGAGAGCUAGGACUUUAAUUUGAUAAGAACUCAGUUGCUCCGACAUACCUCUGAGGCGGCAGUUUUUGCUAUCUAAGCAAAUUGCUUCUUAGGACCUUUCAGCUUGCUUUUUGUCAUUUGAGCCCGGGGAUCUAUCUACCCACUUACUGAUUUUUUUUUUUUUUUUGUAAAACUAAAUUUGAAAAAGUCAGAGGUGUGAGUAUACCUUUGAGGAUUUCCCUAUUUGAAAGCAUCUAUGAAACAGUUUCUUUCUGACUUUGGUUUAAGAUUUCCAGACAGGAGGGGAACCAGGCUUGUGCCUUGGACUCAAAGGCAGCAAAAGAACCACAUUUGCCAAAAACAAAAGGAGGAAGGAGGAUUGACUAGUCCUACUACGUGUAACUGGGAGACAGACUCUUGUUACAUUAGCACUCACUGGGCAAUGCUUACUGAGUGCCAACAGCAUGCUUAAGAAAAAUAAGGGAGCUAGGCAUUUACAGACCAAGAUCCUAAACUGGAAGACAGG
rnacentral:lncRNA from 1 species